rnacentral:lncRNA from 1 species
AAUAAGGUGGGUCUCUCCUUUGUCGACUCCUGACUUGGCACUACUUACUCAUUCCUUUGGCUCUACUGAGAAAUCAAAAUGUUCCUCCUAAAUCUUUCCCCUAAAAAUAGUUUCUGUGUCAUCAAGCAAUUACAUUUGCAUUUUCUUAACCUUUCAUUAUUUGUCAGUCUUGUCACAAUUAAGGAAGGCAGUGGAAGACCUGUUAUCAUUUGACCAUUUAGUAAUACAGAAGAACACAAUGAGAUUAGUGAUAAAUCCUAUCGAGGAAAUGUUCUGGUUGAAGCAACCCAAUGAAAGACUGGAGGUUCUUCCUAUGUAGCAGCAAACUCUUAUUGCUCUUUAGGAACUCUAGAAGUGAAAAACUCCAAAUUUCUCCAGAAGAAAGAAGAAUAUAACUGUAAUUUAAAGAAAAGUACCUCCUCUUCCUCCUCUCCUUAUUUUUCUUCUCCUUCUUCUUUUGUCCUGAUCUUUCUUCUUCCUGUUCUUCUCGUUCUUCUUGUUCUUCUUGUUCUUGUACUUGGUCUUCUCCUCAAUUCUUCUUCUUCUUUUCUUCUUUGUGAUUCUGAUGGCAUUGAGCACAGCCCAGUAAAAGACAAAUGAACAAGCUUGGAGUGUGUCUGAGUUUCCUGCAGCAUCAGGAGAGGGAGAGAGAGACACCAUGAUUCCUACCAAGAUGCUACUGCUCUUGCCGUCAAUGGCUUUGCUGGCCUUGGGGUCUGCUCAGGGCAUCGAUGACGGUAAAUUGGGGAGAUAGAAGAUCAUGCAAGCAUGCGGGAGUGUGUCUGAGUUUCCUGCAACAUCAGGAGAGGGAGAGACAGACAUCAUGAUUCCUACCAAGAUGCUACUGCUCUUGCUGUCAAUGGCUUUGCUGGCCUUGGGCUCUGCUCAGGGCAUCGAUGAAGGUAAGUUGGGGAGAUAGAAGAUCAUGCAAGCACACGGGUAACAUUCUUGGAGAAGAUUAAGGUUGAAUUGACCUUUCUAACAAUUCAAGUGCUUGAUAUUCCAAGAAUAGGUUCAUCAAAGUGGAGAAAACAUUAGUUUCUAUUUUCCACUGAUUGCAAGUAUCUCUCUGAAGUCCUAGGCCUAAGUGUCAAGUCAAUAUCUUCAUGAUGUGACCUUUGCUGUUUUUGGAAGUUUGGACUUCCACUUAUUCACUCUUUGUGUGAAAAAAAAUAAUCUAAAUUGAUUGAAUGUUCUAAAAUUCACCUAGAUAGAUCAAUUCCUUUAUUUUUGAACAUUGGCCAUAUACAAAUAUUAAAAAUUUGUGUUAAAUUUUCUUUAUCCCUCAUAAUAUUGAUAGUUAGUAGGUCCUAUUCAUUUUCUCCAUUGUAUGAUUUUUUUUGAAUACUUCUAUGUCUGCUUAGGGAACCAUGUGGCAGGCAUGCAUUUAUAGGAAAUCUCAAAAGUCCUAGAAAUGGGUACUUUCAGGCAAUGCUGGGAGAAUGUGUACACAAUAAAAGAGAAAGUUUAAUUCUUUAUGGAUCAUGGCUCUUUUAAUCAGAAAAGAUGGAUAGCAUAUCUUAGGGGUACCAAAUAUUCAGAUAUAAAGUCAAAAUCCAGAUAAGUAUUUCAAUGGCUGCCAACAACCAGAUAUUGGCCUCUUCUAAAACAAAGAAUGACAAAUUGAAAAAAAAUGAUAUUCUCUAAUUAAAUGUAUUGUCAUUGUAUAGAGACAGUCUAAUUCAAAAACUUGGAAUCUAAAGACAUGAAAUGCUCAUGGAUUAUUUGAGUUUAAAUCUGUUGCCAUCUGCUGAGACAAAGUUGCUGCUCAAAAUUCUAAAAAGGUAGUUGCUGACUUUUCUGAAAGGCAUAGACACUUUACAAAGGAUCUAUAAGUGGUUAUUUUUAUAACCUUAUUUUGAGUUUAUCUCUCUCUGUUUUGUGGUAGUUUGGAUAUUAGGUGGGAAAUAACAGUAAAAUUCUGAGAAGAGAGUUGUUUUCCUUUUUAAAUAGUCUGUACGGGGAAUUUAAUUUAUGCCUUAUCUUGUAUGUAUUUUAUGUCAUUCAUUAUUCACUGCAACAUUUUGAAGUACAUAUUUUUAUUCACAGUUGACACUUGAACCCUAGCUUUGGAGUCUAAAUAUUCUGCAGAACAUUCAUGAUUAGAGAGUGAGAAAGCUGAGUUAUAGACUCAACCUUGUCAGCUUUCAAGCCCAUGAUUUCUGUAUCUAAUCCUGUGAACUCUGUUUUAGCUUUUACUCCAUCAGAAAUGACUGAAUUGUCUGCAGUAUGCCAACUAUUUUCAAGUUAAUAUCCCUAUUCAACACAUAUAUUUCUUUGCCCCCCAUCUCUUCUUGUUCCCAUAUUGGUUUGCUUCUUAACCUCUAUCCCGAACUCACCUACUUCCAAUGGCAGCAUUACACUCAAUAAACUGCAGUGCUAUGUUCCUCUGAGUAUUGCAUAAAGAUUUCUCAAACUCUUGAGUAACUUAACUAGUAAAAUAGAGCUUAAGAGAAUUCUAAAGGGAAGAUGCUCAGAAUAUACCACCAAAAUUUUGUCAUUAAGGCUAACAUGAGUUUAUUCUACCUUUGGUAAGGGAGAGAGUCUCUGGGGAAAAAAGGUAAGUUGGGAUCUUUACAGAUAAGGUUUUAGGGUCUACUUUAAGGAGAGCUUUUUUCGGGAUGAGUAAGGUCCAUGAUUUAAGAGUUUAGGGGCCAAAUGAGCUGAGGUGAUGGCAAGAGUCUUGGAGAAGAAACAGUUGAUACCAUUAACAAGCUGAACAGAUUAAUGUUUGUUUAAAUGAUUUUGAGGCAAUUCAGAAGUAAAUGAUAAGUAUCGGAAUCAUUUCUCUUUCUGGGCAAGAAUUUUCUGGAAUAAUGAAAUCAUGUUAGUGUAGCCAGGAAGCUACAUGUUGUAGUCAGUUUCCCUUCUCAAAUUUUCUCUGUUGCAAGAGGUCACAUAACCUCAGCGACAUCUUACAAGGAUUGCAGCUCUUCAUUAUGCAUCCUGUGUAAUGGGUAAAACUUAGAUGACUCUGUCAUUUCUGUUUCAGAACCAAUGAUCUGUACUAGUUUUCUAGUUUGGGAAAUGUUGUUCCAUUGUAUCCAAACAUUAUUAUUUUGGGUUCUCUUAGGCAUUUUCUUAACUCCUUCCAUCUCAAGUUACUUGUCUUUUAAAAUGUAGAGGUGGAGUUUUAUCAAAGUAUAUUAAAACUUAUUGAUUUCUUUUUUUUUUAACCCAAGUUCUAAAAGACCCAGAUAAAAAUCUUGUUGAAGGACACAAUCCUUUCUGUUUCUCUUUAGAACAUAUCAUAUGUUAUAUUUAUGCUUAGUGUUUUGUCUCUUGAGAGUGCUCAAAACUGAAUCUAGGAAAGGAAUAACAAGCCUUUAGGUUCCAGGGGCUUCAGUCAUAUUGUAAGAUAGGGCUUCAUCCUUCCUUUUCCCUUGGGAAUCUCUUGUGUCAAAAACCUAAACAGUACCUGAAAGUCAGCAGAAUACGACACCCCCAAUCACCUGUACGGGUUUUUUUCUACAUCCUUCUACAAACAAUGACUAAUGAUUGAAUAACACAAAUGCCUUAUUUUUGUAGGGAAAUUAUCUGUACUAACAUUUAACUAAUUUGAAUCAGAAAGAUACUGUGUAAUUUCACCCAAGUGCUGUAGCUGUUUAAUUAGUAACCUUACCCUUCC